AAUUAGAUCUUCAAAUUUACUCAGCUGAAUUUUGUUUUUUAACACAGUCAAAUGCUGGUGUAUGUUUUUCUUAUAUCUCCUUCGGCAGCCAGCAUUGUGUGCUAAAGUAGAGUAAGCCAGCUAUAAACACUGGUCAAAUAAAAGCACAAAUUAGUGUUUUCCUACUACCCUCUUUUUUCACAUAAUUUCCUUGCCUUCUACUUUACCCUUCAUGACAAGACUCAAUGUCUAUGUAUAAUGUGUCUUGAAGUUUUUAGAAAGAUAGCUGUAAAAAUCUAGUAAAUGAGUAAUAGUGAUAAUACCUGAAGAAUUCUAUCCAUUGAAGAUUCCGUUAAUUUGGACUUAAGCCUGCUAUAGCGCAUUGACAAUCGGUUUCAAAAAGUGAAGUGCAGUGGAAGGAGAACAAGAUUACAAAUCAGGGGGUCUAAUCCUCUUCCCGUGUGCCCCUAACUUGCUCGGUGACCUUGGACAGACGCUUAUCUUCUUUAUGCCUCCAGCCUCCUUCUGUAAAGGGAUGAGCUGUAGCCAAUGUCCUCUUCCUGGUAAUGGACAGAGCCGGGGCCACUGUCCGGAGAGGAGAUAGAAUCCUGUCAGAACAGCUUUUCUUUACCACUUCUGGAUCUGCUCCGGAGUUAGAAGGCUGGCGUCUCCAUCAUUCAAUAUUUCACCCCAGCACCAAACCGACAUGGAUACUUUUGAUAUCAUUCAAGGUGCCUCUAAAGAAGGAUACAGUCUGGGAUCAGUUUAAAUGGAAUCCAUCUGAAAGAACCAGAAGGAAUGAUGGUUUCAGACAUGGAGAAUGUUCUGCUUCUAUUUUAGCAAUAAAUUUGACCUUUGUUUUUCUGGCAGCCGAGGCAUAAGGAGUAACAUGAAUGGACUAUUUAUACUUGCUGGACAAAUAGUAGGCUCAAUAAAUAUUUUUUCAUUGACUCUCAACCACCCCUUAGUUGGGAAGGCAAAAUACUGAUAGAGAAGUCCCAGAAGAAUGGAGCACAGGGUGGGUGGCUAGAAAGGUUUUUGGUGAAGGGAGAAUCCUAAAACAAGCUUCAAACUCCCCUGUCUCAACCCGUUGCCAAGGCUAGGCCAUUCUGAGAAAUUCCCAUGAUACAUGCAGGCCACCAGCAUGGCUCCAGGAGGUGAGGCAUGCCCAGUCGUUCCCUGUAGCAGUUCCAUUCCAGGAUGGAAGGUCCAUCUUGAUCUGUAGGCCAGAUAUUUCUUUGAGGAAAAUGUAGCAUUGUCUCUUUUACCCAAUCACAUACCUUUGGAAGGAAAAAAAGGCAACCCUCUACCUGUAGAUCCUUAAGCCUGAGCCCUAACCAGCUGCAGAGCUGGCUCAGAGAACCCUUCGUUACAUAAAGCUUCUGCCCCUGACUGAGGGAUGAACACAGCACCUCCUCACCGGCAGUUAGCUGCUGCCCCUCAGAUUCCCAAAGCCUGCCCUUGGGAUUCAGGGUCAGGCCCAGGCUCAGCCCCAAUUGCCCUUGUGUGAGAGAUUACUCAGUUUCAGAUCUCUGAAAUUCUCUGGGUUUCCCGGUGGAUGGGGAGCUCUCUUCAUUCUUGCUAUUCCUCAGCUUCCACGUUCCUUCACAACGGCCACUUUAAAAAGUCUUUUCUCUGCUGCUUCUUUCCCAGAUUCAGGCUUUUCCUACUACAGCCUCCUCAAAGUUAUUUCUGCUUGCUCCAGUAGGGGAGCUAGGCAGGUAAGUCCCCUCAACCCUGUAGCUGGCCUCCUUACUGUGACCCCCACCAAGUCAGUCCUAUUUGGAAACCUAAUUUGCCUUGCUCCGGGGUACCCCAACCACAGGCUCUUAAGACCAAUAAAACUCAGUGGGAAACAACCUUAUGAGGUGAUUGGGUCCAGCCUCUUGCUCCUGGAAAGGUGAAUCUCCAAAUCUUAUGAGGCAAUUAUUCCACCCUACCUUCUGACUGUCCCGGCACUAUGCAAUGACUCUUGUAGGUGAGCUCUUCUUUAGAUGAAACCUGACUUUUUCCUGCCCUAACUGAGGCCCCAAUUCUCAUCUCAUCCAUUGCAUCAGUGACAAACGCCUGAUGAGUGUUUCUUUUCUGUCCUUAGCCUUCUCUUCAGCAGAGAAAGUUUCCCCAGAAAUAAAACUCUGAGUGUUCUACUCCUUCCUUCCAGUUGCCUCCUCUAAGCACCCUCUAAAUCAGACCCAGGGCUCCAGAGGGAGUAAUCUCCUUUCUCUCGCAGCUGCUCUGAGUUUUGCCGUCUGGGCUUAGAACAGCUUGAAGUUAGCACAAAGGCGAAUGAAGCUUUAAAUCUCCAGCACUUAACAGCUUCUCUGCAGCCUCAGAGGAUCCUCAAACAACGCUGCAACCUAGGGAGAAAAGGAAAUGUGAUAUUCAUUGAGAUUCCUCAUGUCCCAGCCCUCCAGGUCACCUAAGGAUGGGAGCUGGUCAUCAGAGGAACCAAUCCUGCGAUCAGAGGGCUGGAAUUUUCAGUCCCAUCGCCAGCCCCCCCCCCAACCAACAUCUUCCAGGAGGAGAGAGGGACUGGAGAUCGAGUUCAGUCACCAAUGGCCAAUGAUUUAAUCAAUCGUGCCUAUGUAAUGAAGCCUCCAUAAAAACCCAAAAGAUGGGGUUCACAGAGCUUCUGGGUUGAUGAACAUGUGGAGAUGUGGGGAGAGUGGCGGGCCCAGAGAGAGCAUGGAAGCUCCACGACCUUUCCCACAUGCCUUGCUCUAUACAUCUCUUCCAUUCGGCUGUUCCUGAGUUAUAUCCUUUAUAAUAAACUGGUAAUCUAGUAAGUAAAAUGUUCCUCUGAGUUCUGUGAGCCACUGUAGGAAAUUAAUUGAACCCAAGGAGGGGGUUGUUGGAACCUCUAAUCUAUAGCAGGUCAAUCAGAAGCACAGGUGACAGCCUGGACUUGCAGUUGGUGUCUGAAGCGGGGGCACUCUUAUAGAACCAAGCCCUUAACCUGUGGGAUCUGACACUAUCGCCAGGUAGAUAGUCAGAAUU
ensembl:lncRNA